rnacentral:lncRNA from 1 species
GACGGGCUACGUCGGAGUGUUGUCUUAGAUUCGAAUGCAUGAGGAACUGGAAUAAUCAGUAACAUUUCUCCCAGACAGAGCUGCUCUAAGCUGUGGGCCAACAGGAGGCUGGGAGCUCUCCUCUAAAUUGCUUUGUGACCUUGGACAAGAACCCUCCCCUUCCUGGACUGCAAAUUUCCUCCUCUGUAAAAUGAAGGGUUGGCUCUGGCUGAGAACAUGGCCAAUGACAUUGAUGAGCUCAUUGGCAUUCCCUUCCCCAACCACAGCAGUGAGGUCCUGUGCAGCCUCAAUGAGCAACGGCACGAUGGCCUGCUGUGUGACGUGCUCCUGGUGGUGCAGGAGCAGGAGUAUCGGACCCACCGCUCCGUCCUGGCUGCCUGCAGCAAGUACUUCAAGAAGCUUUUCACAGCCGGCA